rnacentral:rRNA from 1 species
AACGAACGCUGGCGGCAGGCUUAACACAUGCAAGUCGAGCGCCCCGCCAGGGGAGCGGCAGACGGGUGAGUAACGCGUGGGAACGUACCUUUUGGUUCGGAACAACUCCGGGAAACUGGAGCUAAUACCGGAUAAGCCCUAACGGGGAAAGAUUUAUCGCCGAAAGAUCGGCCCGCGUCUGAUUAGCUAGUUGGUGAGGUAACGGCUCACCAAGGCGACGAUCAGUAGCUGGUCUGAGAGGAUGAUCAGCCACACUGGGACUGAGACAGGGCCCAGACUCUGACGGAAGGCAGCAGUGGGGAAUAUGGGACAAUGGGCGAAAGCCUGAUGCAGCCAUACCGCGUGGGUGAAGAAGGCCUUCGGGUUGUAAAGCCAUGUUGUUGGGAAAGAAAAGCAGCAGGUUAAUAACCCGCGGUGCUGACGGUACAGAAAGAAUAAGCACCGGCUAACUUAGUG